GUGCCUCCCUUGCGAGCACCCUUGGAUUCCGACAACGUAGGGGCGGCCUAGCGUUCUUUUUCUCGCUGCGACGUAAAACUCGCUCGGGCUAACAACGCUGGGCUAAACCAACGCAACAAAAAACCGGCGUGAAAUGCGCCAAGGAACAUGAUAGAGAGUGCGCUCUUCUGGUGUCAGCACUGCUGCGCUAGUACGGGCGUUGUCUUCUUGAUGAGUUUAUAAUGACUCUCGGCAACGGAUAUCUCGGCUCUUACAUCAAUNAAGAACGUWKCAAAAUGCGAUACUUGGUGUGAAUUGCAGAAUCCCGUGAACCAUCGAGUCUUUGAACGCAAGUUGCGCCCGAAUCCUUUUGGUCGAGGGCACGUCUGCCUGGGUGUCACGC
rnacentral:rRNA from 1 species